rnacentral:rRNA from 1 species
UGAGCAAUCUGCCCUUCUCAUCGGAAUAAGCGUUGGAAACGACGUCUAAUGCCGAAUACGACCUCCUUUCACAUAAUCGGAGGUGGAAAGCUCCGGCGGAGAAGGAUGAGCUCGCGGCCUAUCAGCUAGUUGGUGUGGGUAAUGGCCCACCAAGGCGACGACGGGUAGCCGGCCUGAGAGGGUGAUCGGCCACAUUGGAACUGAGACACGGUCCAGACUCCUACGGGAGCAG